ACAGUAAAAUCACAAUAAUAAGUUGUCAAAUAAGAGUGAUAACAGUCUGUACUUUGUUUCAAGACUGUAGAUGUGUGCGUGUGUGAGGCCCUGUUAACUGAAACCUGCCGAAUGAGAGAGAGAAAUCCCCGAUUUGUGACUGCAGGCCAGGUUUUUUUUUUUCCUUUGAGCUGAGUUAAAGUUGAUGGCAAGCCAACCCAGAUGAGACCUUGAGAUCCCUGGAUUGAAGUUCCCUGAAGUGAGGAACUCUGAGCUAAGGACUGCUGAGCUUACCCCUCUCCUGCCACGGCGGGUUAGGAGCCGUGUGUUACAACAGCGUGUGUGUCUGUGUGGAGAAGCCGCUAAGCCCCGUCCACGCUGAAACACUGACAGAGAGGACAGAAGCAGAUCCAGUAAACACCAGAAAAACGUUGCACUGCAGAUAUUCCUUUAUUAAUUACAAUUGUUACAUCAUCAUAUACUUCAGUCCAGCCAUACAAGAAGGAAAGUAGUCUGAAGUACAACAAAGGACAAUGCAAAGUACUGAAAUUCUAUCACUGGACUAGGUGCGAGAUGCAGGCAAGGCACAACGAAUCAUGCUCACAUGCAUGACCAGCAAGAACAGACCAAAUCAAGUAGGACUCUUUAGUCUGCAUGACCAUCACUUUAUGACUACAGUGGUUUGAAAUGAGAUGCAAUGACACCCUAUAAAGUUCUGAGCUGGAUUAGUCCAGAAAUUGCUGUUGGAUUAAGGAAGAGCUGUUUUACACGUCAUGUCACAUCAUAGAAGACGGACAGCACGAAAGAGCGUGCUCAACAUACAGAAGAUCAACACGAAGGCAGAUGACAAAGGAAGAAGAUAACUGUGGUUUCCCUCAGGUCUCUGACAUUGAAGAUCAGAGCAUGCAGGUACAAGAGUGAGAGCUGAUGGAACUAUAUUUCAGUAAAUAUGUAAGUGAAAUGCUAUGUAAUGUGGUGUUCUCUUGUAUCACAUCCACUUCCAAGUAUAAGAAUAAAACCCACAAAAGCCACUUUCUCUCGUGAGGAUUAUUGCAGAAUUUCACAACCAGCAAACGUUACUAAUUAGAUGAUAAUUAAAAUUUUUGAUGGUUAAUUUCCUGCCGAUCAACUUGUCAACUAAUCGUUGCAGCUUUUAAUGGUGUCAAUUUUAAAAAAGUGUUUUAAGCUAAUAUUUCACAUUCAAAACAACAGCAUAGUAACUAGGAUGAACUGACAGAAGAACGAAGGAUCUGGUGUAUGUAGUGAGAACAGGUGAGCAGCGGGCUGUCUCACAAAAGCAGAAUUUAGAAAUCCAGGAUAACAGAAAAGGCUAGGUUUGACCUAGUGUGGUCAGUGCAUCAUGGGUUUAUCCGUUUCACAAAGGCCAAACCAGGCUCAGGAGGAACGACUGUCAAGCCAGGGGUAAGUAAUUCUGAUAAACGGGCAUCAACAGUUUUCUUCAAGAGACCACACAGGCGAUCACAGACUUAUUCAUGUUGAAAUGGAAAAGACGUGUGCAGCUUUACACAUAGUAACUAACAGCGAAUGAAGAAGAUAUGCUACAUUUUGUUGGCGCUGAACUCGUCACAGAUGUGUAGAUGGGCAUGGCAGUCAGGUGAAAGGGAAAUGAAGAUGGAUGGAAAAUAGAACUGAAUCUGCCUAGGGCGCAGGGAAUGUAGCUGGGGGGGAUAGACAGAGAAACAGACUGAAAAUUAUUAGUUAUACAGAAAGACAUGCAAAAAAACUAACCGGGGCGUAGUGUUACUGGCAUCA